rnacentral:rRNA from 1 species
UGAAGGCCUUCGGGUUGUAAACUGCUUUUGUACGGAGCGAAACGGCUCUUCCUAAUACGGAGGGCUAAUGACGGUACCGUAAGAAUAAGCACCGGCUAACUACGUGCCAGCAGCCGCGGUAAUACGUAGGGUGCAAGCGUUAAUCGGAAUUACUGGGCGUAAAGCGUGCGCAGGCGGUGAUGUAAGACAGAUGUGAAAUCCCCGGGCUCAACCUGGGACCUGCAUUUGUGACUGCAUCGCUAGAGUACGGCAGAGGGGGAUGGAAUUCCGCGUGUAGCAGUGAAAUGCGUAGAUAUGCGGAGGAACACCGAUGGCGAAGGCAAUCCCCUGGGCCUGUACUGACGCUCAUGCACGAAAGCGUGGGGAGCAAACAGGAUUAGAUACCCUGGUAGUCCACGCCCUAAACGAUGUCAACUGGUUGUUGGGUCUUCACUGACUCAGUAACGAAGCU